AGAGUUUGAUCCUGGCUCAGGAUGAACGCUGGCGGCGUGCCUAACACAUGCAAGUCGAGCGAUUUACUUCGGUAAAGAGCGGCGGACGGGUGAGUAACGCGUGGGUAACCUGCCUCAUACACAUGGAUAACAUACCGAAAGGUAUGCUAAUACAGGAUAAUAUAAGAGAUUCACAUGGAUUUCUUAUCAAAGCUCCGGCGGCAUGAGAUGGACCCGCGUCUGAUUAGCUAGUUGGUAAGGUAAUGGCUUACCAAGGCGACGAUCAGUAGCCGACCUGAGAGGGUGAUCGGCCACAUUGGAACUGAGACACGGUCCAAACUCCUACGGGAGGCAGCAGUGGGGAAUAUUGCACAAUGGGCGAAAGCCUGAUGCAGCAACGCCGCGUGAGUGAUGAAGGCCUUCGGGUCGUAAAACUCUGUCCUCAAGGAAGAUAAUGACGGUACUUGAGGAGGAAGCCCCGGCUAACUACGUGCCAGCCGCCGC
rnacentral:rRNA from 1 species